CCUACGGGUGGCAGCAGUGAGGAAUAUUGGUCAAUGGGAGGAAUCCUGAACCAGCCAUGCCGCGUGCAGGACGACGGCUCUACGAGUUGUAAACUGCUUUUGUACCGGGGUAAAAUGCUCUACGCGUACCGUUUUGAAUGUACGUUACGAAUAAGGAUCGGCUAACUCCGUGCCAGCAGCCGCGGUAAUACGGAGGAUCCGAGCGUUAUCCGGAUUUAUUGGGUUUAAAGGGUGCGUAGGUUGUUUGAUAAGUUAGCGGUGAAAGUCCGAGGCUCAACAUCGGGGCUGCCGUUGAUACUGUAAGACUAGAGUGCGGAUGCAGCAGGCGGAAUGCGUGGUGUAGCGGUGAAAUGCAUAGAUAUCACGCAGAACACCGAUUGCGAAGGCAGCUUGCUAGGCCGGAACUGACACUGAUGCACGAAAGCGUGGGGAUCGAACAGGAUUAGAUACCCCAGUAGUC
rnacentral:rRNA from 1 species